rnacentral:rRNA from 1 species
AGUGAACGCUGGCGGUAGGCCUAACACAUGCAAGUCGAACGGCAGCACAGUAAGAGCUUGCUCUUACGGGUGGCGAGUGGCGGACGGGUGAGGAAUACAUCGGAAUCUACUUUUUCGUGGGGGAUAACGUAGGGAAACUUACGCUAAUACCGCAUACGACCUACGGGUGAAAGCAGGGGAUCUUCGGACCUUGCGCGAUUGAAUGAGCCGAUGUCGGAUUAGCUAGUUGGCGGGGUAAAGGCCCACCAAGGCGACGAUCCGUAGCUGGUCUGAGAGGAUGAUCAGCCACACUGGAACUGAGACACGGUCCAGACUCCUACGGGAGGCAGCAGUGGGGAAUAUUGGACAAUGGGCGCAAGCCUGAUCCAGCCAUACCGCGUGGGUGAAGAAGGCCUUCGGGUUGUAAAGCCCUUUUGUUGGGAAAGAAAAGCAGCAGGUUAAGACCCCGCUGUUCGGACGGGACCCAAAGAAUAAGCACCGGCUAACUGCGU